UGGGGAAUUUUGGACAAUGGGCGCAAGCCUGAUCCAGCCAUGCCGCGUGCGGGAAGAAGGCCUUCGGGUUGUAAACCGCUUUCAGCCGGAAAGAAAUCGCACGGACCAAUACUCUGUGUGGAUGACGGUACCGGAAGAAGAAGCACCGGCUAACUACGUGCCAGCAGCCGCGGUAAUACGUAGGGUGCGAGCGUUAAUCGGAAUUACUGGGCGUAAAGCGUGCGCAGGCGGUUUCUUAAGCCAGACGUGAAAUCCCCGGGCUUAACCUGGGAACUGCGUUUGGAACUGGGAGACUAGAGUGUGUCAGAGGGAGGUGGAAUUCCGCGUGUAGCAGUGAAAUGCGUAGAUAUGCGGAGGAACACCGAUGGCGAAGGCAGCCUCCUGGGAUAACACUGACGCUCAUGCACGAAAGCGUGGGGAGCAAACAGG
rnacentral:rRNA from 1 species